AGCAGCCGCGGUAAUUCCAGCUCCAAUAGCGUAUAUUAAAGUUGUUUGCAGUUAAAAAGCUCGUAGUUGAAUUUCGGGAUCAAUUAAUUGGUCGUGCCUAUGGUAUGUACUGAUUUUAUUGGUUUCUCCCUUCUGACGAACCAUGAUGUCAUUAAUUUGGUGUCGUGAAGAAUCAGGACUGUUACUUUGAAAAAAUUAGAGUGUUUAAAGCAAGCUAACGCUUGAAUACAUUAGCAUGGAAUAAUGAAAUAGGACGUUUGAUCCUAUUUUGUUGGUUUCUAGGAUCGACGUAAUGAUUAAUAGGGAUAGUUGGGGGGGGCAUUAGUAUUCAAUUGUCAGAGGUGAAAUUCUUGGAUUUAUUGAAGACUAACUACUGCGAAAGCAUUUGCCAAGGAUGUUUUCAUUAAUCAAGAACGAAAGUUAGGGGAUCGAAGACGAUCAGAUACCGUCGUAGUCUUAACCAUAAACUAUGCCGACUAGGGAUCGGAUGAUGUUAAUUUUUUUUAAUGACUCA
rnacentral:rRNA from 1 species